GAACAUACUAGGUGUGAGUGCUUCAUUCCCAGUCUAUCAACUCAUCGUCUGUACCCCCACAAAAUGCGAAUGUCUACUGGAGCGGUUGAAGAGGCGCAUCUUGGCGGGGAUGGCGUAGGAUUCUGCUAGUGUCUGUGGGUUGGUGGCCAUGCGAGGCUGCUCUGAUGGCUGUGUGGUAUGGCAUUGCCACGAUCUUCACAGCAUGAGGUUUUCUUCUGUGCGGGAUACCGCUGCGGGAUGCUAUGGCUCUGGCCUCCUGUCAGCAAGGAAGCCGGGGUAGCGGCCUGGGGCAGAUGGCCUUGGUGCUGGAUGGGAAACUCUGGCUUCCCGUCGGCAUGGCGUGAGGUGACGCGGCCCCCUUGGCAUGUGGUUUGGAUCGGUGGUCGGCGAUGGUGCCACGUCGCUUGGCUCGCUACUCCUUAGCCCAUGCCCUCUGGCUUGGCGGUUGAGGUUGCACUCCAGGUGAAAGCCUCGCAUUUCGAUGCCAACAACAGCGGCACCCUAGGGUGUCAUUCUCCUUCUUGAAUGUGUCGUUCGGGGAGCUGCGAUGUUCUACCGAUGCGAGUGCUUAGAUCUCUCCAGGUGAAAACCUAACUCCUUUCGAGCGCGCGGCGGCGAUGCUUACGUCGUUACCUUCUCGAAGGCGUCGUCUUGGAGUCUCUUAGCUCUCGUGGUGUGAAAGGUUCGUGGCGGCCAUGUGGGGUGCCCUUGUUGUUGGGGCGACGGAUGCAGGAACGGCGGCCACGGAUUGUGGAAGGACGCUGAGGCAGCGGCCUCGGGUAGCGGCACAGUCAUGGCUUUACGAGGCAGAGUUGUAGCUUAGCUUCGCAUGGGUGUCGAAGAACCAGUGCCCCGAGGGUGGCUGGUUCGCCAGGGAUCGUUCUUUUACAUUUCUUUUCCUUUUCAUCUUUUUUCCUCAUGCCAUGUUGUAAAUGAUAUUCUACCUGCUAAUAUAUGCAAUUCAGCAAUUGGUGGACCUUUC